GUCUAUGAUCAUGCUACCCUGAACAAGCCCGAUCCCAUCUGAUCUCAGAAGCUAAGCAGGGUCGGGCCUGGUUAGUACUUGGAUGGGAGACCACCUAGAAAUACCAGGUGCUGUAGGCA
rnacentral:rRNA from 1 species